rnacentral:rRNA from 1 species
GUCCACGCCGUAAACGAUGGAUACUAGGUGUAGGAGGUAUCGACCCCUCCUGUGCCGGAGUUAACGCAAUAAGUAUCCCGCCUGGGAAGUACGAUCGCAAGAUUAAAACUCAAAGGAAUUGACGGGGGCCCGCACAAGCGGUGGAGUAUGUGGUUUAAUUCGACGCAACGCGAAGAACCUUACCAGGUCUUGACAUUGAUCGCGAUCUGCAGAAAUGCGGAGUUCUUCUUCGGAAGACGAGAAAACAGGUGGUGCACGGCUGUCGU